rnacentral:rRNA from 1 species
GAUGAACGCUGGCGGCGUGCCUAAUACAUGCAAGUCGAACGCUCAAGUGAGGAGCUUGCUCUUCUUGGAUGAGUUGCGCACGGGUGAGUAACGCGUAGGUAACCUGCCUUGUAGCGGGGGAUAACUGUUGGAAACGAUAGCUAAUACCGCAUAACAAUGGAUGACACAUGUCUUUUAUUUGAAAGGGGCAAUUGCUCCACUACAAGAAGGGCCUGCGGUGGAUUAGGUAGUAGGUGAGGUAAUGGGUCAACUAAGCCACGAUACAUAGCCGACCUGGGAGGGGGAACGGCCACACUGGGACUGAGACACGGCCCAGACUCCUACGGGAGGCAGCAGUAGGGAAUCUUCCGCAAUGGGGGCAAGCCUGACCGAGCAACGCCGCGUGAGGGAAGAAGGUUUUCGGAUCGUAAAGCUCUGUUGUAAGUGAAGAACGGGUGUGAGAGUGGAAAGUUCACACUGUGACGGUAGCUAACCAGAAAGGGACGGCUAACUACGUG